UACGUAGGGGGCAAGCGUUGUCCGGAAUUAUUGGGCGUAAAGAGCGCGUAGGCGGUCCGGUAAGUCGGUUGUGAAAGUCGGGGGCUCAACCCUCGGAUGCCGAUCGAUACUGUCGGGCUAGAGUCCGGAAGAGGCGAGUGGAAUUCCCGGUGUAGCGGUGAAAUGCGCAGAUAUCGGGAGGAACACCAAUGGCGAAGGCAGCUCGCUGGGACGGUACUGACGCUGAGACGCGAAAGCGUGGGGAGCAAACAGG
rnacentral:rRNA from 1 species